ensembl:lncRNA
CCCUCGGGGAGGCGUGCGUUUGUCGAACAGGGCAACAGAGAUGGCAGGGUGCACAAGAGGACGGGAGUGACCGAUUGAAAAGAAAACAGACUCCGAGCAUGGAUCCGCACAGGGUCUGCCGUCAAUCAAACCUCACUUCCUUCUCCAAGACCCUCCUCUUAGUCUCAGCGUGGAAUCCUGUUGGAUUUGCUGCCACACACUCUUUCUACAGACCACGCUCACUAUGUAUUUAACAGUUCAAUAUUGUGCAAAACUGGCUAGCCAUGACUAUUUUUGUUUUAUAUUCAUGAUGUUAUUGGUUUAAUUUAUCCUUGAUUUGUUUGCACAAUCGGGGUGCUGGUCUUAUAAAUGUAUUUUUGCUCGGUUUAUUUUAGGAGAAUUUUAAGAGGUUUUAAGUAUCGAAGCAGGGCGUAGUGUUCGCGUGCGAGUGUAUAACUAUAUUUGUGUGUGAGGAUGUGUGCGUCUGCGUUUUAGUACAGGGUGUGUGUGCGUACGAGUGGGUGAGAUAGUGUGUGUAUCUAAAAGGGGGGUCUUUCUCUCUAUCAGUAUGCACCUUUUACAGAUUGUAUCUAUUUAUUUAUUUAUUUUCCCAGAAGAGAAAAAAAUGUGUGCGAGGGAGUGUGUGUGUGUGUGGUUACAUGUGUAUUCUAAAAAGCUGAUUUUAAGCCUAGACAGUAAAUUAAGGUAGCAUUAAAAGUAUGGUGUUGUGUGUGCGUGUGUGCGUGUGUGUGUGUGUGAUAAUGGGCCUCCUUAACACAGGGUUACCAUGGACAGGCAUGCUUCCAAAGCUUUGUGAUUUCUUUAGCACGGUUUUUGCUUUUUAGCCGAGCUGCAGAGUCAGAAGCCACUCUGUCUUGGAAAACUAGUCAUCGCUUUUUUCUUUAUUUUUCCUGUUAGGAAAAGGUAGUUAGGGUCUCCAACAAGGUCACAGUGAAGGAUGCAUUUACAAUGAUGAUGAUGAUGAGUUUCGGCAUUGCAGCUUGGCCAGAAGGUAAGAAGCCUUUUUGGCGAUUGCUGCUUAUCUUAUUCACAGUGGAGAGUUGCUCUGAAUGGUAGAAGCACCAAAUUCAUACUGCCACAGUGACGCCUUGUGAAUGAACCGGGUUAGAGAGGAGAAGGAGGGGUGUCGCCCUGAUCACGUGGCUGUAUUACACCCAUUCUGUCAUCGUUUUAAUGGAAGCUUAAACUCCAAACGUACUAUUAGGGCUGGUGUACAGAUGCUGCAAGACUUCUGAACCACAUCUCUUUGUCUGAGGCUCCUAUCAUGAAACAUUCUAAUUUAUUCGCUCUGUUAGAGAUAAACCAAUUUCCUGUCUGUGAUAUAAUUUUAAACUGGUGAAAUUAUAAUACAAGCAGGAAAUUUACCGAUCAUUGAUAAGAUAUGAUAGUUGUUUGGUUAACGUGAUAAAUUAUCUGAAAACCGCUGAGCUCAGAGGGAUGUUGCAUCUUGGAUGAUCUCCUGUGUGAUUUUUCUUUUUUCUUUUCUGUUUUCUAAUGACUUAUAGGUAGCAGCGUGACAUAUUUUUGAUUGAACUUUCUCUGGUUUAGUUUGUUCCUUGAUUACAGUUUGGAGAGAUAAAUUUACGACCAUAGUCAGGUAUGGUCAUCAAGCCUCAGUACAUUACACAGGGCACAGGUCUCACUUUGGUAUCUUCUCCAAAUAACAUUCCUGGCAUCGCAUCAUGAGCACCAAUUUAUAAUUAUCAUUCCUAUGUCAACAACUUUAUAGUGUUAAAAACUGAAAUAAUUCAAUUCAGCUCUUUGAGAUGGACUGAAAAUUUUGAUAAACUCAAUUGCUGCUACUGCUACAAUCCCAACGCAAAGUCAGCUAGACAUAACAGAGCUCACAUGUUAAUACAUUUCACUGUAUUUAAUUUGUUUUUGAAAACUGCAGAAAAAGAGAGUCAGUUUUCUAGAUAUACAGAUUCCAUUAAUGUCAUUGUUGACAAAACUUGGUAGCAAUCCCGAAGGUGCAUUCACACAGAACAGCAGCAGUUCAAAAUACAAGAGUUCACUUUAUGUUUGGAUUAGCGCAUUAAGAGCAGUUUUAAUCUUAUUAGAAAACUUCUGAUAUUUUGCAAGAGCCUUCACGAUUUCAAGACACAUUGUGUAAAUUACCUCUAAAAAUCUCACCUUAUAAGAUAUAGAAUGUCCACCCAGAGACACUGUCACACGUCAGCUUCUAGUCAUUAGUUUUCUCUUUAAUUUGCCAGCUCUUCUUAAUAGACGUUCAGCAGAGCAGGUGGCCAUUUUGUAACGGAGUUCUUGAACAUAAGCCACUCCCCCUUUCCACUGUGGGAGGGAUUUCAUUGCUUCUGAGGUUGCUAAGUGACACUGGCCCAACAUCAUUUGGUUUCCUCGGUUACCAUUUGUCUCCUUGGUGACGACUGCAUGGUCUCACGGUUGACACACCCUUUUAUUUUCUUCUUCUUCUGCUUCUCUUUCUGUUUUCUAAAGGAGAGUUCUUGAGGGUUUUUUUUCAUUCAUUUUAGAUUUUAGAAAGGGAAAGAAUACAAAUGAAAUAAAUCAGAAUAUUAAUUCAAUCACUUUUUCUACUCCUAUUUUCAAUAAAAAGUAAAACGAAAAACCAAACAAAAAGUUGAUUUGUAAAUAAGUAAUGUACAGUUUGUAUCUGUAACUUGUCAGUCUGUCAUUGGUGACAGAGUCUGUCUUGCUUAUAACGCACGCUACCAGUAAAUAAAAAAGGAAAAAGUAUAUUUAGACUGUAUGGUCCCUUGAAAGCAAGUUUUAAAUUAAUAUCUGAUGUAUAUUCCUGUAACAUUGCAUUUUUAUCUGAGGAAUGAUGUUAUUAAAAAAUUGCAAAUAAAUUGCAUUUCCUACA